rnacentral:rRNA from 1 species
GACGAACGCUGGCGGCGUGCUUAACAAAUGCAAGUCGAACGAAGUGGCGAACGGGUGAGUAACGCGUAAUCAACCUGCCCUUCAGAGGGGGACAACAGUUGGAAACGACUGAUAAUACCGCAUACUGAAGGAGGGGAUUGCGGCUUAGUAGCUAGGUGGAGGGGUAACGGCCCACCAAGGCGAUGAUCAGUAGCCGGUCCGAGAGGAUGACCGGCCACAUUGGGACUGAGACACGGCCCAGACUCCUACGGGAGGCAGCAGGUGGGAAUCUUCCGCAAUGGACGAAAGUCUGACGGAGCAACGCCGCGUGGGGGAUUACGGCCUUCGGGUUGUAAAGCUCUGUUAAUCGGGACGCGGUACCGGAAUAGAAAGCCACGGCUAACUACGUGCCAGCAGCCGCGGUAAUUC